CGGAGCAGCUCCCUGCGCUCGGUGGUCUCGGAGCCGCGGGGAGGCCGGAGCCCCCGGGACCCCCGGGACCGCAGCCCCGACUUUGAGCGACCCCGACGGAGCUCCCGGCUGCAGAGCCAGAAGGAGAACGGCCCCUCC